AUUGAACGCUGGCGGCAGGCCUAACACAUGCAAGUCGAGCGGAAGAAGGGAGCUUGCUCCUGGAUUCAGCGGCGGACGGGUGGGUAAUGCCUAGGAAUCUGCCUGGUAGUGGGGGAUAACGUCCGGAAACGGGGGCUAAUACCGCAUACGUCCUGAGGGAGAAAGGGGGGGAUCUUCGGACCUCACGCUAUCAGAUGAGCCUAGGUCGGAUUAGCUAGUUGGUGGGGUAAAGGCCUACCAAGGCGACGAUCCGUAACUGGUCUGAGAGGAUGAUCAGUCACACUGGAACUGAGACACGGUCCAGACUCCUACGGGAGGCAGCAGUGGGGAAUAUUGGACAAUGGGCGAAAGCCUGAUCCAGCCAUGCCGCGUGUGUGAAGAAGGUCUUCGGAUUGUAAAGCACUUUAAGUUGGGAGGAAGGGCAGUAAGUUAAUACCUUGCUGUUUUGACGUUACCAACAGAAUAAGCACCGGCUAACUUCGUG
rnacentral:rRNA from 1 species